rnacentral:lncRNA from 1 species
UGAGUUACUGUGUUAAAAUCUACUGUAGAAAAUUCAUAGCAAAGUUCCAAUUUGAGGUAUGCUCUUAUUGUAUUCAAAGGGAGAAGAAUCACUCAUGUCAGGAGCUGUUGCCACUUAUAUGGAAACUCUUGGUUGGGAACACCAGUCAGCAGUAGAAGAUGGAGAUCAGAGCCCCUUCAAGCUUCAGCACCUCUCUUGGUUCCUCUUUCAGUUGCUCCAGUCUUCAAAGGCAUUUGCAGAUGUCUGGAGUUACUGUAGACAACUAGUGAAGAUGGAAUGACAAGCACAGAGGAGAGGCAAAAGGAAUUCAGAUGCCAGCCUCGACAUCAUUGAGCUUCUGAAGACAGGGCUUCCUGCCUCCAGAGUUCCCAAGAGAAAACAUUUUCUAUGUUUAGCCCACUGUUGGUGAGAUGCUCCUCCGUGGUGCACCUGUCUUCCCUGAGCAUAGUCUGUAUCACAGCCAUCGUGAGCCAGGCUCUUUGAUGCUUCCACCCUUUAACUGACACAGGCCCCUCUGACCAGGAUGUGCUUUUUCGUCUCUUUGAUCACUUAGAUUUCAGUAUAAAGUGGAGUAUAAUUUAUUAUAUAACUAUUUUGACUUUCUGGUUUAGACUCUCCCAGAAGUAUUAUGAAUAAUUUCUCUUUAAUUCUUAUUGUUCUGUGUAUAUUUCUAAUAGUGCUGGUGGCACUCACAUUUGUUUCUAUCUGCAUUUCUCUGAAUUUCUUUUAACUUUUUUGUAUUGGUCUUCUCUGAAAGCCUUUUUCGAUAAUUUUUGUCCCUACUUGCCUCCAUUCUUCUACUAAAUUAUUAAUACCACCAAUAUGUUCUGUAUCUUAUGUAUUUUUUGACUCUGUGUUUAU